AUGGAUCGGUCCAUGAAGGUCUUUGUGGUCGUCUUCAUGCUCCUUGUGGCCACAGGCUUCCAGGGAGUAGUGCAGGUAGCUUUGGCGAGGGAGUGUACGUCACCGAGCCACAAGUUUAAGGGGUUGUGCGUGAGCGACACCAACUGUGCAAGUGUUUGCCUGACCGAGCGUUUCCCCGGUGGCAAGUGUGACGGCAUUCGGCAGCGUUGUUUAUGCACCGAGAAAUGCUAG
rnacentral:rRNA from 1 species